rnacentral:misc_RNA from 1 species
AAAAAAUUGAAUUUAAAAAUGCUGCACCUACGAAUGAGCUGAAUGGGCCGCAGUUGCCUGCCCGAGUCUAUAAUUGUAGAUAUGGGUAUAGGUGUCUGCUGAUUUUCUCCCCCUGCACUGCAAGAGGCGGCAACUUCUUGUUAAACUUCCGUGCAAGAUCUGCGUUGGAUAUAGAUACCGCGGCUUCACAUUUUGCAUAUCAAAAGAACCGAGGAAAAAUCAGCGUAGGGUACAGAAUAGCGGUGAGUUUCACGCAGGUGUAAGAUAUGGUUGGCCUUGCGAUGGAAUGAUCAACCGAAGAGGAUGAAAACUGUUCGCAUCGGGCAAUUUUAUAGGAACAUCAUUCUCAGGGAUCAGUAUAGGCUACGAUUAGAUUAAUGAAUCGUGUUUCGUAGAAUCAACAUCAGCUGCUCAGGUAUUAAGCAAUGAAAUAGUAUUGACAAUCAUCCGCCUAAUGUUUUUCAAGCGACAGGGUCAAGGCAAUCCGGGGUUCGAAGAACAAUUCGUUAUUUGCAAUCGGAAAUGCAAAAUAACAGAAAUAAAAAUGAUUUUAAGAUCAUUCUGAACUAAACCACAAGCAUCCCUGACAUUUUAUGAAAUUGAGUAAUCUCAACCCGGCAAGUAUCAAAACAAAAAUCUGCAUUGAAUUUUUCUGCGAUGAUUUGCCACGAAAGUGAUGCAUGAAUUACUAUGCGAGGUUUUACAAGUUAUGACGAAGUCGAAACGUUAUUGUAACACGCACCGUAUUCGGAACAGCUGCGAACAGUAAAUAGCAGCAAUAUAUGAAGCUGAAAAAAUAAGAACAGAAAAAUUGAAUGAGACUGUUAUUGACGGGCAUCGAGGUUUUUUUAUUCACGGCUUGCGAUGGAAAAAACUUGCAAGCACAAAUAUGAAAAGGAAAAGAUCACAAUGGCAAAAAUUAGCAAACAGAAAAGAACGCGUGGAUAAUACAUUCGCCGUAUAGAUAAAUGUAAUCAUGUAAAUCUGCAGGAAUAAUAUUCCCGAGCAUCUCAAUGAUUUUGUUCUUCGUUAAACCGGAAUUGUACAGAUGUGAAGAAGUGAUUAGAUGUACACAUAUGUACGAAGUGAUAAUCAAUGGACAAGGUAAGUAUCAUAAAUUUAUUUUACAAAUUCAUCCGCUUAGUGAAGUUUCAUGUUUUUUUCUUCAAUUUUCUUAUACGUAUUUCUACGUAGCACAACGUAUUUCUUUCAAAGUACAUAAACUGCUGUGAACGUUUUUUAAACUUAUCUGACUAAUCAAUUAAGUGCAAUAAACUAUGCCCAAGUAGGUAUACAUACAUAAUGUAUAUUAUGAUCCUAUUGAUUGAUUAAUCAGACCCGUAUUUCUUUAAAUCAUAUUUGUCCACGUAAACAAUUGGAAGAUCAGUUUCACUAUGCAAGUUGCAUAUAAUGACCCCUAUGUACACAGAUAAUACGGCACGUUGACAUCAAAUAAUCAAGAAAUAAUAUAAAAACUUUAUUAGCAAAAUUUUCUAACUAUCUUGAACGAUUUUAAAUUAUUCAUUGCUGAUUGAUGGAUUCAGCUUCAGCUGAUACGGUGCAGAAAGUAUCAUAAAUACAAAAGAAAGACGAAUGAAAGGGUGACUGUAUUAUAUUAAUCUUUUAUAUCAGAAAAGCAUAAUAAUUUAUAAGAAACAAGUUGAUCCACUCUUUGAAUUGCGCAUACACUCCAACCAAUUAUAGUGAAUAUUUUUCAACUCAUGUACCAUACUACAUAAUUAGUAACUUAACUUUCGAUUACCCAAUGCCUACAUUUU